rnacentral:rRNA from 1 species
UUUCUUCCUGGAAGGAAAAAGUCGUAACAAGGUUUCCGUAGGUGAACCUGCGGAAGGAUCAUUACAGUAUUCUUUUGCCAGCGCUUAACUGCGCGGCGAAAAACCUUACACACAGUGUCUUUUUGAUACAGAACUCUUGCUUUGGUUUGGCCUAGAGAUAGGUUGGGCCAGAGGUUUAACAAAACACAAUUUAAUUAUUUUUACAGUUAGUCAAAUUUUGAAUUAAUCUUCAAAACUUUCAACAACGGAUCUCUUGGUUCUCGCAUCGAUGAAGAACGCAGCGAAAUGCGAUAAGUAAUAUGAAUUGCAGAUUUUCGUGAAUCAUCGAAUCUUUGAACGCACAUUGCGCCCUCUGGUAUUCCAGAGGGCAUGCCUGUUUGAGCGUCAUUUCUCUCUCAAACCCCCGGGUUUGGUAUUGAGUGAUACUCUUAGUCGGACUAGGCGUUUGCUUGAAAAGUAUUGGCAUGGGUAGUACUAGAUAGUGCUGUCGACCUCUCAAUGUAUUAGGUUUAUCCAACUCGUUGAAUGGUGUGGCGGGAUAUUUCUGGUAUUGUUGGCCCGGCCUUACAACAACCAAACAAGUUUGACCUCAAAUCAGGCAGGAAUACCCGCUGAACUUAAGCAUAUCAAUAUCCCGCAUCGAAGGAA